UGGUGACUAAACGACAGUUUGGCUGUUGAGUUUCAUUUUCAUCUUUGCAACUUCCUCAAAAAUGGUGAGUAAGCUUUUUUGCACCGUCUGUUGAGAAGAAAAACGGGACUAAACGGCAAAAAUGAACAAUUGAACACACUAUCUUGUAUCCAUCUAUCGAUUUUGCCAAAACACCUCGAAAUCCAUUCAAGAGUUUUGACGCGCAGGAACGCGCGCACCUAAAAGGCUAUAAGGAAACCAUAUUUCAUUUCAGAAUUGGUUCAAAUUAUGUUAGGAUCAGGGUUUUAAUAAGGUAUGGGUCAGUAUUAUGUUUUGCAGGUCAGAAGUGUCCUAAUAGCCUCUGUCCCCGUGCGCAGAAACGUCUAUGCAAAUAUUAGGUGUAGUCUACUAUAUUUGCUCAGUCCUCUUAAAAACGUAGCUAUUUCAGUAAAUCAUUUGGCUAAUUUCAAAUUAAUAUGAACCUUCUAAUGAGUUUUCAUAAUAGCAGUAUCAGUUAUUGUAUAGGCCAAGUGAUCUAUUUAAUGGUUAUGACGUCAUCUUUCUCAUGACAGGACGCUGAACAACAGAAGAAGGCAGAAGAAUUUCUAUUGUCUGGAGCAAGUUUUAGGACAAAUGCCUUCAGAAUCAUCAACAUAAUGAUUAAACUAUGCAAAGACAAGCCUGGCUGUAAGGUGCAUGUGGAUGAGAUUCUCCACAGCAUCUUCUUCUUAGGUUUCAUUCAUAAACCCCAACAAUGCACCCCCAACGAUAUCCUUGGUGAACUUAUGCCUGAAAUGGAGAGGAUUUUCCCGAGACCAUUUGAGAAUUACACAAGUAAACUGCCCAAACGGACUCCGUUCUCCUCUGUGCUGGAUAUGGUGGUCUCCUUGCUUGGACCAGACAGUGAGAUCAAUAUACUGGAGAGACUGAAGGAAAUCGCCAAUAUCAUGUCAGAAGCCAAGAGUAAAUACCAGUUCACCUCCUCGACCAUCUGUGUCUCUCAAAGGAAGGAUGUUCAAAGAAGUUACUAUGGAGCGUCCAUGUCCUGCACGGGGAAGAAAGGACAGAUUAUGAUCGCUGUGUCCUGUCUGUGUACCUGGCACUACAGUGUAUCCAAUGCCGUGAUGACAUACAAGCCAGAUAAGAACAAGAGAAAUAACUUUGAUGGCACCAUGAAACUACAAGGACAUGUAAAGUGCCAGGCUUCCAAUGUGAAGAGUGGGGAGGAGAUGUCUCCUUGCAGGUCCUGUGGUCAUCUUUUUGGUCUGAAGGAACCAAGCAAUCAGAUGUGGCCCUAUGGGAACUGCGCAGAGGCAGAGAGCUUGAGCAAACUGCUCUAUGGAGAGGAAGAGAUUGUUAAGAAUGUAGUACCAUCAGUUGAUUGCAAAAUGCGAGAGCAAGUGGUGAAGGAGGUAAAGGCUCACCUGGAAGAGAUGCUCAAAGAGUCAGAAUUUCAAUGGGAUUCUUCCUAUUACAUUCCACAGUAGAUUGUCAGAGAAACGCAUGUGCGCACACGCACACACACACUAAGUUUACAGAUAUACAGAUGCACAUUCCUACUGUGACACACAGAUCCAAAACAUAUAAUCAUAGCUUGGUGCGGGGCUAGCAACAUGUGAUUUGUGUCUGACAGCUAGCAUUGAAACAUUGCCAAAGCAGUGAACCACUCUGUGCAUGUAGUAUACAGUAUAACUGCUAGGCUAUAGCUAUCGGCUCUUAUCAAUGACAUCUGUGAGGUAGAUGGUUCUUUUAGAAGGGGACCGUUGUUUAGAGUACCUCAUGGAGAUACCUGAAAUUGAAUUUAAUAUUCUAGUCUAGACAAAGCAUUUAACAUAUAUAUAUUUUUAAAGAUGAUUUUAAUUGGAAUUUUAAACUUUAUUUCUGUAUACUCUAGUUAUUAAUGCACAUUUUACUAAUCUGUAACAAAUUACUAAUACUGUAAACAUUGGUGUGAAUUCAUGUCUGGGUUGAUUUCUAGCUAUGUGAGGAAUUCAUCUAAUAAAGGAACUUAAAUUGUAACCAUUGUAAUGUAGCCUAUGUUGUCAUUUGUGUGUGUGACAGAGAGAUUUUCAGUGCUUACUGUUCUUAGUUUGCAAACGGAAGGGUGAAGAGAGUUGAAAUAGCAGAACAAAAAAACAGGAUGCUGAUAAAGUGAAGUGCAAUUAUUCAUGGUAUUGUGUAUUGGUAUAUUGAAGUGAAUAUACUGUAUGUGUGUGGGAAGAGAAAUUUCCUAAGAUUAAUAAAAACAUAAGGUUAACAACCUGCAUGAAUAAAUUGCAGUUACUUAUAUGACACAUGGAUAUGGAAAGACCAAGGGCUUUAUUUUCGGC
ensembl:lncRNA